UGAGGAAUUUUCCGCAAUGGGCGAAAGCCUGACGGAGCGACACCGCGUGAAGGAUGAAGCUUUUCGGAGUGUAAACUUCUUUUAUGUGUGAAGAUUAUGACGGUAACAUAUGAAUAAGCACCGGCUAACUACGUGCCAGCAGCCGCGGUAAUACGUAGGGUGCAAGCGUUAUUCGGAUUUACUGGGCGUAAAGAGUGUGUAGGCGGCUUUAUAAGUUAGAUGUUAAAUAUGCGGGCUCAACCCGUCUGCUGCAUCUAAGACUGUAAGGCUUGAGAGUGGAAGAGGCAAAUGGAAUUUCUGGUGGAGCGGUUAAAUGCGUAGAUAUCAGAAGGAACACCAAUGGCGAAGGCAGUUUGCUGGGCCAUUUCUGACGCUGAGACACGAAAGCGUGGGGAGCGAUCGGG
rnacentral:rRNA from 1 species